AGGAUAGGGAACGGACAUAGAGCCAUUUCAAAUCGGAGGUCUCGGAAGCGACCUGAGAAGGAAUAUCUGAAAUCUGGUAUCUGAAGUCUAAUAUCUGUGUUAGUGGCGGACGGGUGAGUAACGCGUGAGCAACCUGCCUUUCAGAGGGGGAUAACGUUUGGAAACAGACGCUAAUACCGCAUAAGAUAGUAGUAUCGCAUGGUACGGCUAUCAAAGGAGCAAUCCGCUGAGAGAUGGGCUCGCGUCCGAUUAGAUAGUUGGUGGGGUAACGGCCUACCAAGUCAGCGAUCGGUAGCCGGACUGAGAGGUUGAACGGCCACAUUGGGACUGAGACACGGCCCAGACUCCUACGGGAGGCAGCAGUGGGGGAUAUUGCACAAUGGGCGAAAGCCUGAUGCAGCAACGCCGCGUGAGGGAAGACGGUUUUCGGAUUGUAAACCUCUGUCUUUGGUGAAGAAACAAAUGACGGUAGCCAAGGAGGAAGCCACGGCUAACUACGUG
rnacentral:rRNA from 1 species